rnacentral:snRNA from 1 species
UAGUGUCUGUACUUAUCAGCUUCAUAUCUGAUAUAUCCUCCAUCUGAGGAUGAUAUAUUAAAUGGAUUUUGGGAGCAGGGAGAUGGAAUAGGAGCUUGCAUCGUCCUGGCAUUGUAACACCUCCAAGAAACGUGC